rnacentral:rRNA from 1 species
AGUCAUAUGCUUGUCUCAAAGAUUAAGCCAUGCAUGUCUAAGUACAAGCCAAAUUAAGGUGAAACCGCGAAAGGCUCAUUAAAUCAGUUAUGGUUCCUUAGAUCGUACCCACAUUACUUGGAUAACUGUGGUAAUUCUAGAGCUAAUACAUGCAAACAGGGCCCCGACCGGAGACGGAAGGGGUGCUUUUAUUAGAACAAAAUCAAUCGGUGGCGCGUUCGCGCGUGUCAUCGUAGACUUUGGUGGCUNUGAAUAACUUUUUGCUGAUCGCACGGUCUUGCACCGGCGACAUAUCUUUCAAAUGUNUGCUUUAUCAAC